rnacentral:rRNA from 1 species
UACAGAGGGUGCAAGCGUUAAUCGGAAUUACUGGGCGUAAAGCGCAUGUAGGUGGUUUAAUAAGUUGGAUGUGAAAUCCCUGGGCUUAACCUAGGAACUGCAUUCAAAACUAUUAAGCUAGAGUAAAGUAGAGGGAAGUGGAAUUUCCGGUGUAGCGGUGAAAUGCGUAGAUAUCGGAAAGAACAUCAGUGGCGAAGGCGGCUUCCUGGACUUAUACUGACACUGAGGUGCGAAAGCGUGGGGAGCAAACAGG